rnacentral:snRNA from 1 species
AAAUAAAGUUUUACAUUUUUGGAUGCAACCCCAUUGAUCACCAGGGUUGAUUCGGCUGAUCUGGCUGGCUAGGCGGGUGUCCCCUUCCUCCCUCACCGCUCCAUGUGUGUCCUUCCCGAAGCUGCGCGCUCAAAGAGGAUGACCCCUCCCCCAUAGAGGAGGACCAUUUCCUAGGUCAAGGGUAUAGGAGUAGCUGCGCUCCACUGCUAGAACCUCCAAACAAGCUCUCAAGCAGAUGACCAUUUUUGAAUUGGGUCUUUAUAUUUGGGGGGGUUGAUUGUUUUGAGUUCUUUAUAUAUUCUAGAUAAGAGUCCUUUGAGGAGCAGCUGGUAAAAUUUUCCCCUACAUUGUAGGUUGUCUUU